GAUGAACGCUGGCGGCGUGCCUAAUACAUGCAAGUCGAGCGAACAGAUAAGGAGCUUGCUCCUUUGACGUUAGCGGCGGACGGGUGAGUAACACGUGGAUAACCUACCUAUAAGACUGGGAUAACUUCGGGAAACCGGAGCUAAUACCGGAUAACAUAUUGAACCGCAUGGUUCAAUAGUGAAAGGCGGCUUUGCUGUCACUUAUAGAUGGAUCCGCGCCGUAUUAGCUAGUUGGUAAGGUAACGGCUUACCAAGGCAACGAUACGUAGCCGACCUGAGAGGGUGAUCGGCCACACUGGAACUGAGACACGGUCCAGACUCCUACGGGAGGCAGCAGUAGGGAAUCUUCCGCAAUGGGCGAAAGCCUGACGGAGCAACGCCGCGUGAGUGAUGAAGGUCUUCGGUUCGUAAAACUCUGUUAUCAGGGAAGAACAAAUGUGUAAGUAACUGUGCACAUCUUGACGGUACCUGAUCAGAAAGCCACGGCUAACUACGUG
rnacentral:rRNA from 1 species